ensembl:lncRNA
UGUUGGCCAAAAUCAUUUAUUAUCUACAUUAGGACCUUUCUGAGAAAGUAAAGGCUUACACUGAAUAAUUAUGUUGAGACAACAGGUGUAAACCAAGAUUGUCCUAGAAACACCAAAAGUAUGGCCAUCAUUAUGAAGCAUUGUAAUAAUGAGCACCUUUGAACCCAACUUCAGCAUGAGAGCAUGACCAAUGCUGUGAGUUUCUUCCUUGUCCCAUUCCCCUGCCUUCCCUACAGAAGUAACUACUACCUUAAAUUCUGUGACUCAUUUUCUCAUUAAAAACAAAUAAACAUACUUUUAUCACAUAUGUAUGAAAACCUAAACAAUAUCAUUUAAUUUUGCUUGUUUCGAAGCCUUACAAGUGUCAGAUCCUGUUGUAUGUAGUCCUCUGCAACAGGCUUUUCUCACUCCGCAUUAUAAUUCUAUGAUUCCUUCUUGUAGUCGGCCACAGCUAUGAUAGACUCACUGCCACUGCUGUAUAGGAUUUCAUUAUAUGGUGAUGCCACAAUUAAUUCAUUUUACUGUUAAGGACAUUAGGGUGGUUUCCAUGUUUUUAUCACAAUAAACAGCACUGCUAUGAAUAUCCUUGCUCCUGUCUCUGGGUGCUUGCAUGCAUGUGUAUCUCUAGGGUUUAUACUUAGUAAUGAAAUCGCAAUAUUCUAAAGCGGUUUCAGCAAUUUACACUGCAUUAAGAGCAUAUAAGGAUCCCCGCUGAUUCCUGCCUCUGCCAUGCUUGCCACUGUGGGACUCCUUUUCCAUGGAAAAUCUUCCUGUGGUCUUAAUUUACAUUUUCCUGAUUUCUAUAAGGCUGAGAGUCUUUUCUUGUGGUUUAUUUUUCAUUCAUAUUUUUCUGCUGUGAAAUUCUCAUUCAUAUAUUUCGCUCUUUUUUAAUUGAGUUGUCUUCUUACUGAUUUGUAAGAAUUCUUUAUGUAUUCUGGAUAGUAAUGCUUUGUGCAUUAUUUGUGCUAUAAUAUAUUCUCCCAGUUUGUGACUUGUCUUUUCAACAAUCAGAAAAAAAAUUAACUUGGACAAAGAAGAGAUUAGGCAUGGUGAGAAACACUUCAACAGAAACAACAGUAAAACAUUACUAACAUCCUCAAAGAAAUAAGAGAAAAUAUUGCAUCCAUGAAAAAAGAACGAGAUACUCUAAAAAGCAGAAUAGUCAAAGAACAAACAAAAGGCUUUUGGAAAUACGAUAAGAUACAUUUCUGAAAAACAACAAAAAACUGUUGAAGAGUUGAAGAAAAUUUCCAGAAUGAAGAGCAAAACGGGAUGAAAAAUAGGUGAAAAAAAGAUAUAAGAAAUAUAGAGAACUGGUCCAGGAGGGCCAGUAUUUGAAUAAUUAAGGAGUUCCUGAAAGAAAAAAUAAAAUCAUUAUAGAGGUACUUCUUUUAAAUUUUCUCCAAAAUGAAGAUGAUUAGUUUGUCGGUGAGGACUCACUGGGUGCCCAGCACAGUGAAUGGAAAUCGAUUCACUUCAGGACACACUAAGGCUGAGCAGGCAUGGUGGUAUGAGCCUGUAGUCCCAACGACUCAGGGGGCUGGGGCAGGAGGAUCCUCGCGCCCAGGAGGUCAAGCCUGCAGUGAGCGAUGGCUGUGUCACUGAACUCCAGCGUAGGCGGCAAUGAGAUCCCUUCUCUUAAAAGAAAAGACCUACUGAGGACACAGCUUCCAGAAAGAGAGAACAGAGUCUCUACAGAACAGCCUUGGACUUUUCAGCAGAAACUAGAAGACAAUGGAGCAAGCCUUCAAAAGUCAGAGGGAAAAAUAUUUCCAGUUUAGGAAUUUAUACCUGGUCAAACUAUCUGAUUAAAUGUGAGGCACUUUUAGAAAUGCAAGGUCUUAAGAUUUCACCUCAAACACAUCCUUUUAGAAAAGUAUAGGUAUAUAUGUGGCCAGGCAUGGUGGCUCACGCCUGUAAUCCCA